rnacentral:rRNA from 1 species
GAUGAACGCUGGCGGCGUGCCUAAUACAUGCAAGUCGAGCGAACGGACGAGGAGCUUGCUUCUCUGAUGUUAGCGGCGGACGGGUGAGUAACACGUGGAUAACCUACCUAUAAGACUGGGAUAACUUCGGGAAACCGGAGCUAAUACCGGAUGAUAUUUUGAACCGCAUGGUUCAAAAGUGAAAGACGGUCUUGCUGUCACUUAUAGAUGGAUCCGCGCUGCAUUAGCUAGUUGGUAAGGUAACGGCUUACCAAGGCAACGAUGCAUAGCCGACCUGAGAGGGUGAUCGGCCACACUGGAACUGAGACACGGUCCAGAAUCCUACGGGAGGCAGCAGUAGGGAAUCUUCCGCAAUGGGCGAAAGCCUGACGGAGCAACGCCGCGUGAGUGAUGAAGGUCUUCGGAUCGUAAAACUCUGUUAUUAGGGAAGAACAUAUGUGUAAGUAACUGUGCACAUCUUGACGGUACCUAAUCAGAAAGCCACGGCUAACUACGU